UUAGACGGGGCCCGCACAAGCGGAGGGAACAUGUGGUUUAAUUCGAUGAUACACGAGGAACCUUUACCCGGGCUCGAACGGUGCAGGAAUAUGGUAGAGAUAUCAUAGCUAGCAAUAGUCUGUUAUCGAGGUGCUGCAUGGUUGUCGUCAGCUCGUGCCGUGAGGUGUCGGCUUAAGUGCCAUAACGAGCGCAACCCUUGUCGUUAGUUACCAUCAAGUAAAGUUGGGGACUCUAGCGAGACUGCCACCGUAAGGUGUGAGAAGGGGGGGAUGACGUCAAAUCAGCACGGCCCUUACGUCCGGGGCGACACACGUGUUACAAUGGUAGGUACAGAGGGGCGCUAUCCAGUGAUGGAGUGCGAAUCUCAAAAACCUAUCUCAGUUCGGAUUGGAGUCUGCAACUCGACUCCAUGAAGUUGGAUUCGCUAGUAAUCGCGCAUCAGCCAUGGCGCGGUGAAUACGUUCCCGGGCCUU
rnacentral:rRNA from 1 species